GACGUCAAGUCAUCAUGGCCCUUACGACCAGGGCUACACACGUGCUACAAUGGCGCAUACAAAGAGAAGCGACCUCGCGAGAGCAAGCGGACCUCAUAAAGUGCGUCGUAGUCCGGAUUGGAGUCUGCAACUCGACUCCAUGAAGUCGGAAUCGCUAGUAAUCGUGGAUCAGAAUGCCACGGUGAAUACGUUCCCGGGCCUUGUACACACCGCCCGUCACACCAUGGGAGUGGGUUGCAAAAGAAGUAGGUAGCUUAACCUUCGGGGGGGCGCUUACCACUUUGUGAUUCAUGACUGGGGUGAAGUCGUAACAAGGUAACCGUAGGGGAACCUGCGGUUGGAUCACCUCCUUACCUUAAAGAAGC
rnacentral:rRNA from 1 species